GAGUGCUGGAGUGAAAGGCAGGAGCCACACCCCCAGCCUGAUUAUACUGUUAGCUUGGGUUUAUUAUCGUCAAAGAAUAUGCUGGCUUUCCAAAAAACAUCAAGAGUUCAUAAAUUCUCCAGAAGAUUCUGCAAUGCACCAACCACCCCUGUGGCAUGUUCUGAAGUCUCAGGCUUUGCUGGAAGUGGAGACAUUAAUGCAACCAGUAAAAACCUCCCAAAGGCAACAUACCUCAGACCACUCAACUCGGAACCUGUGAACUGUUGUGUUAUUAAAGUGGGGCUGGAGAGAUGGCUCAGUGGUUAAGAGCACUGACUGCUCUUCCAGAGGUCCUCAGUUCAAUUCCCAGCAACCACACGGUGGCUCUCAACCAUCUGUAAUGGGAUCAGAUGUCCUCUUCUGGUGUGUCUGAAGACAGCUACAGUGUACUCAUAUAUAAGUGAAUGGAUCUUUGAAGAAAAGAAAAAAAAUAAAGUUGUCCCAGGUGACGUCAACAUUUAACCUG
rnacentral:lncRNA from 1 species